rnacentral:rRNA from 1 species
GACGAACGCUGGCGGCGUGCCUAAUACAUGCAAGUCGAGCGAAGUUUUUCUGGUGCUUGCACUAGAAAAACUUAGCGGCGAACGGGUGAGUAACACGUAAAGAACCUGCCUCAUAGACUGGGACAACUAUUGGAAACGAUAGCUAAUACCGGAUAACAGUAUUUCUCGCAUGAGAGAUAUUUAAAAGUUGGUUAUGUUGACACUAUGAGAUGGCUUUGCGGUGCAUUAGCUAGUUGGUGGGGUAAAGGCCCACCAAGGCGACGAUGCAUAGCCGACCUGAGAGGGUGAUCGGCCACACUGGGACUGAGACACGGCCCAGACUCCUACGGGAGGCAGCAGUAGGGAAUCUUCCGCAAUGGGCGAAAGCCUGACGGAGCAACGCCGCGUGAGUGAAGAAGGAUUUCGGUUCGUAAAGCUCUGUUGUUAGGGAAGAAUGGAUAUGUAGUAACUAUACAUGUAAGAGACGGUACCUAACCAGAAAGCCACGGCUAACUACGUG